UACGUAGGGUGCAGGCGUUAAUCGGAAUUACUGGGCGUAAAGCGUGCGCAGGCGGUUUGCUAAGACAGGUGUGAAAUCCCCGGGCUUAACCUGGGAACUGCGCUUGUAACUGGCAAGCUAGAGUGUGGCAGAGGGGGGUGGAAUUCCACGUGUAGCAGUGAAAUGCGUAGAGAUGUGGAGGAAUACCGAUGGCGAAGGCAGCCCCCUGGGAUAACACUGACGCUCAUGCACGAAAGCGUGGGGAGCAAACAGG
rnacentral:rRNA from 1 species